rnacentral:rRNA from 1 species
UACGGAGGGUGCAAGCGUUGCUCGGAAUCACUGGGCGUAAAGCGUACGCAGGCGGCUUGGUAAGUUGGGUGUGAAAUCCCGGGGCUCAACCCCGGAACGGCAUUCAAGACUGCCUCGCUAGAAUACGGGAGAGGGAAGCGGAAUUCCUGGUGUAGAGGUGAAAUUCGUAGAUAUCAGGAGGAACACCAGUGGCGAAAGCGGCUUCCUGGCCCGAUAUUGACGCUCAUGUACGAAAGCGUGGGGAGCAAACAGG